rnacentral:misc_RNA from 1 species
GGUAUGUUGGAUCCCUGCUUGAGCAGCGACGUCCUCUCGUGCAAGCCCUUUCAUUUCUCGGUUCAAGUGCAUCGUUUGCCUUGGCCGCCCGACGGUUUCCUGUGCUGCAUACCUACUGUGACGGCAUUCGUUUGUCCCAAUCGUCCCCCGUUCGCCUUGAGCUGGUGGCCGUAAAGGGCAUCGGCUCGGGGUGAACUCCAAAGCGCUCGCCGUGUCCCAAGCUACGGAWGCUUCGGCGUGCCGCGGCCUUGGCCCUCGUCGAGUCGCUCGAUCUCUCGGAUACGGAACGCCUUGCGGGUAGGGGGGUCGCCGACCUCUGUUUACCCAAAAAAUAAGCGUUCGUCGCUAACCAGCGGACGACUGCCGCGCCCGUCUUGAGCCGGCGGCCCUCGGGCCGUCUCGGCU